rnacentral:rRNA from 1 species
GAUGAACGCUGGCGGCGUGCCUAAUACAUGCAAGUCGAGCGAACGGACGAGAAGCUUGCUUCUCUGAUGUUAGCGGCGGACGGGUGAGUAACACGUGGAUAACCUACCUAUAAGACUGGGAUAACUUCGGGAAACCGGAGCUAAUACCGGAUGAUAUUUUGAACCGCAUGGUUCAAAAGUGAAAGACGGUCUUGCUGUCACUUAUAGAUGGAUCCGCGCUGCAUUAGCUAGUUGGUAAGGUAACGGCUUACCAAGGCAACGAUGCAUAGCCGACCUGAGAGGGUGAUCGGCCACACUGGAACUGAGACACGGUCCAGACUCCUACGGGAGGCAGCAGUAGGGAAUCUUCCGCAAUGGGCGAAAGCCUGACGGAGCAACGCCGCGUGAGUGAUGAAGGUCUUCGGAUCGUAAAACUCUGUUAUUAGGGAAGAACAUAUGUGUAAGUAACUGUGCACAUCUUAACGGUACCCAAUCAGAAAGCCACGGCUAACUACGUG